GUCUUUAUUGUCGCUGGUCGGUGGAAGGCUGGUUAAACCGUUUGGUUUUAGACCACUAGGACCCGGGUUCGAUUCCCGCAUUGGACA
rnacentral:tRNA from 1 species